GGAACUGUGGGUUAAAUUUUGUUGUAAGAGCUGACAGCAACUGCAUUCUGAAGCUGAAGGGAGCAGAAAAAAAACACCUGAACAGCUGAAUUUUUCUUGUCCUCCUUGUGCACGAAGCCAAACCUCAUACUGUAGAAAUGCUUGUUGGGAACUGAUCCCUCCUAAAGUUCGAGCAGACACUACACGUCUGUGCCAAGGAAUCCUACUGAAGCUUUAGCACUGAAAUUGCGUGGAUAAUUGUAAUGGGGAAUGCUUGUGGAUCUGCAGCGUGUGGUGGACCAAGAUCUGCACUCACAGAACACUUGCUUUUUUCCUCUGGUGAAUAGGGUGCUAAAAAUGUGGAAUCCAGUCACUUUUUAAUUCAGUGAGAAUUUUGAACCUAUGUGAUUUUUGUACUGUUAUUUGCUUAGGAAGUGUAAAACAAACUAUCAGAAGAAUAUUUCUCUUAAGUAUGUAGUGAAAUAAAGCUAAUUUAAAAAAUACACUUUGUAGGAAAUUACACUUUAGAAAAGUAUUUUGCUGUUUCAAAGUGAGAAAAUUGAAGUCAUGUCUCAGGACAACCUGCUUUUAAGAAGACAAAUGACUGUAGUAAUUACAAUACUAUUUUUGCCAGUAAUGUAAUGUUUGUUGAACAGAGUUUUGGACAUGUGUAGUAUACACAACUAUUUCUUGCUCUUUGCUCUGUGUGUUUGUUUUUUCCAUUAGGAGGAAUUCAUAAUUGCAGAGAAGAGUCCCCAGUGUGUCUGUGUAUGAAUGGGUAGCCUUCUCCAUGGAAAAAGGAGGGAGGUCUAAAAUGUAGAGAAGCUGAGUCAAUUACCUUGUAUAGAAAAGCAUGAACGAUUUUGAUAAUUUUUUCUACACAGAAGUACACAACAGCCAUUUAAAGAGACAUUUAUAAGUAAAUGUGCCUGCAAUUCUAAGUAAAAUAGUCUAAUAAACACAAGGCAGAUUACACAAGAAAGAAAAUUACUUCUUUCAAAUCUAAAGAAGCUGUAUCUUCCUAGAAGUUUCACAGUUGCCUUCUGUUUUUUAUAUACGCACUCAGUAGUACAACAGCAAUUAAUUCCUAACUGGAAAUAAUGGAAAAUUGUAAGGUUCUAUCAGCUUUGUUUCUCACUUUUCUCAAAAGACUCAUUUUUUUUAAUCCCUGUUAAUAUAUUUCAUAUUUUGUCAGUAAUGUGAUAAAACGUCAUCUCCUUUUUUCCCCAAUAUUUUGAAAUGUAGAAUAAAAAUGUCAAUUCAUUUUCAACUAUCUCUUUAACAUUCAUUACAGAGGAAUUUUUUCUCAUGAUUUCCAUGAAGCUUGCAUUUAUUUCCAUUAUUUCUACUAAUUCUGCAUGGGUGAGCAACAAUCUAACAUUUUCUGCUAAUGACAAUAGUUGAAA